rnacentral:rRNA from 1 species
UACGUAGGUGGCAAGCGUUGUCCGGAAUUAUUGGGCGUAAAGCGCGCGCAGGCGGUCUUUUAAGUCUGAUGUGAAAGCCCACGGCUCAACCGUGGAGGGUCAUUGGAAACUGGGGGACUUGAGUGCAGAAGAGGAAAGUGGAAUUCCAAGUGUAGCGGUGAAAUGCGUAGAGAUUUGGAGGAAUACCAGUGGCGAAGGCGACUUUCUGGUCUGUAACUGACGCUGAGGCGCGAAAGCGUGGGGAGCAAACAGG